AGCAGUAGCCGCGGUAAUACGUAGGGUGCAAGCGUUAAUCGGAAUUACUGGGCGUAAAGCGCGCGUAGGCGGUUACUCAAGUCAGAGGUGAAAGCCCGGGGCUCAACCCCGGAACUGCCUUUGAAACUAGGUGACUAGAAUCUUGGAGAGGUCAGUGGAAUUCCGAGUGUAGAGGUGAAAUUCGUAGAUAUUCGGAAGAACACCAGUGGCGAAGGCGACUGACUGGACAAGUAUUGACGCUGAGGUGCGAAAGCGUGGGGAGCAAACAGGAUUAGAUACCCGGGUAGUCCCUGUCUCUUAUAC
rnacentral:rRNA from 1 species